rnacentral:lncRNA from 1 species
GUUAGGUUGGGGCUGGGAAUUCUGGGAUAGAUGGUUAGGAUGUGAGUGGGAAUUCUGGGGUAGAUGGUUAGGUUGGGGCUGGGAAUUCUGGGAUAGGUGGUUAGGAUGGUUUUGGGAAUUCUGGGAUAGGUGGUUAGGAUGGGGCUGGGAAUUCUGGGAUAGAUGGUUAGGAUGAGCCUGAGAGUUCUGGGGUAGAAUUUUGGGUGACACUGAGAAUCUGAGCCAGGCCAGAAGGCACAGCGUAAGCGUCACUAGUCAGGCCCCGCCUCCUCUGUCCUUUGAGGAGACCAAGACUCCAGUUGUCUCUGCUGAUCUGCAACCUGGGGGAAACUGAGGCACGGAUCUGAGACCUGGCUGUUGAGUUUGGGGUGUGUGGGUCCAGGGCGGCAUCCAGCUGACCCAUCGGCUUCCCGCAGGAUGCCCUGCACACGUUCCCACAGCUGCAAGUGGAGCAGAGUGAGGAGGGCUCCCCGGAAGAGGGGGCUGUGCGGCUGCGGCCAGCCGGGGAACCGUACAACCGCAAGACGCUCAGCAAGCUCAAGAGGAGCGUGGUCAGAGCCCAGGAGUUCAAGGUCGAGCUGGAAAAGUCGGGAUACUAUACGCUCUACCAUUCACUCCACCACUAUAAAUACCACACCUUCCUGCGCUGCCGGGACCAGACCCUGGCCAUCGAGGGCGGCGCCGAGGACCUGGGCCAGGAGGAAGUGGUCCAGCAGUGCAUGCGGAACCAGCCGUGGCUGGAACAGCUCUUUGAUUCCUUCAGUGACCUGCUGGCCCAAGCACAGGCCCACAGCCGCUGUGGGUGACCCCGCCCCAGCCUGUGAUGGGGGCGCCUCCUCCAUGAACCAAGAAUUGGGACAGAACCGUGUCCUCAGGAGCUAACCCCUGGGCUCCAUCGCCGGGGAAAGGGGGUCAUGGGUCAGGGUGUGUCUAUGCUGCCCUCUCCAGGGCAGGGUUCAGAGUCCGACUCCCCCCCUCUCCCGAGCCCCCUCCACUCCCUCCCCAUUCCUCCCACUGUUCGGUGUACAGAGAAAUUAUUUAUAU